rnacentral:sRNA from 1 species
UUACCCCAUGAUGCUCAGGUCCGCCGCAUCUCCUGGGUCGUGGGGUUGUCGGCUGAUCGUGCGAAGUGGUUCCUCGUGCCGCGACUGCGAUCAGCCGACGCCAUC